AAAAGUCUUAUAUAUAGAUUAUAGGGUUAAAUUUGAAUAGGUGAAUUUGAUGGAUUGAAGUGAGACAAAGUGUAAUGUGAUAUUGAUUGGUCUGGAAAGAAAUAGGAAACUAGUUUUGACGGAUUCCAACUUAUGAUGCACACAUGGUUACUGAUCAACGGUUCAAAUGUGACAUUUCUGAAUGUAAUUAGUAGCACUGGAUCAUGUCCUCAUCAUCCUCAGAAUCCAAAUUGCGAGCCAAAAUUCUAUUGAAUGGCGCCAUUUUUUUAAUUUUUAUAAUUUCGUUGAGACAAAAUAAAUAAAUAAAAUUGCCAGAAAGUGGCGCCUUUUUGUUCAUUUCAGCAAACCUCUUUGGCGGGUGUUUGUCUGUUGGGUCUGAAAAUUUCCAAACCAGAGGCAUUUUCGUCAUUUCAUAUUCUCAGAGGGUUAGGGUUUCACCUCCCAUUUAUAAAGUGUUUUUCACAUCCACCGGUGGUGCGUGUGGUGUGUGUCUGGGUCGGUUGCAUUCCUUAUUUGCCUCUGUACACUCUUCUCUUUCUCUUUUCAGUCUUCUGCUUAGUGCUCACUUCAUUUUUGAUUCUUCGUCCCCUCUCCCUGAGUCUUUGAUCGUUUACUUCUCUGUUUCUUUACUUGAUCUCUAGCUUAUAGCUGCAAAUUUGUUAGAUCCCUGUCUGUUUCUAGCUCUUUGUUGCAAUCAUUAGAACUUUUAGCGUGCACCAUUUCAAGUUCAGCUUAUUCUUCGUAUUAGUAUUUCCCAAUCACCGUAUUUUUUGGUCGCUACCCACUUCAGCUUACCAGCUUUUCUCAUCUGGGUUUGUUUUAGAUCUCAAGUGUUGUUGCUUGAAAUGCUGGAUCCAAGCGAAAAAGUAAGCGAAUUCGAUCUGGUUUCUUGAUUUGAUCUGUGAUCUCAUCUAAAUCUUGGCUAAUCCAGCUCCAUUUAUGUGACCUGUAUGCAGGGAUCAGAGCCUGAGGAUAUGAGUAGCAAAUCCUCCGAAGGAGGAGAACAUCAGCAGAAGAAGACCUGCGCCGAUUGCGGAACAUCAAAGACUCCACUCUGGAGAGGUGGCCCAGCUGGCCCUAAGGUAGAAAUAGCUGGCAGCUCAGCUUCGUUUCCAUUGUUUAUAGCUUUGAUCUGAUUUGUGAUUUUUAACUGUUUGAUUUGCAGUCACUGUGCAACGCAUGUGGAAUUAGAAGCAGGAAGAAGAAAAGGGACAAUUUGGGUUUGAACAGAGCAGCAAAUGAGAAGAAAGCAAGGAAAGGGAACAAUCAUCGUAGUUCAAGCAAUAACAGUAAUAGAUUAGGAGAUGGGUUAAAGCAGAGGUUGUUGGCUCUAGGUAGAGAGGUAUUGAUGCAGAGAUCAACUGUGGAGAAGCAGAGAAGGAAGCUAGGAGAAGAAGAACAAGCUGCUGUGCUAUUAAUGGCUCUAUCUUAUGGUUCAGUGUAUGCUUAGAAGAAUUUUAGGGAGGGAUAGUAAUGGAAUCAAGAAUUGUUGUAUUCGAUUAGCUGACCCAAUUAAGUUAAAAUUGUAUGUUGUGAUUUUGGGUUUGGGUUUCUUCAUUACUUAUUAUUAUUAUUAAUUUUUUCAAGCUUUUAGGGCUAACUGUAUUUGGGAUUUUGUAAGGAAUUCAAGAAAUCCAACAAUUGGAUAUUGUCAUUCUAUUCUCUUUUUCCAAACAUAGCAAUUCAAUGUGCUGUAUUUUGCAUUCCUUUGUGCAACCUGACUUGGUUGUAGCUAAAGCUAU
rnacentral:misc_RNA from 1 species